AAAUAUAAAAAUGUGGUGGAUAGUGAUAAUGAAAGUGAAUGGGACAUGGCUAGUGAUUAUAAGCUCUUCAAAAAGUCAGUUAAUGGUGAGUUUAGAAGGUUUUAUAAGACUCUUGAGAGGUUGACUGAAACUAUGGAGAGUUUGAAUGUCUCACAAACUUCCACUUCUACAAAAAUACCUCAAAGAACUCUUAAUUGCAAUAAGCCUCAAGUCCGAGAUGAAGAGUUGAUGCGCUAGAAAUUCAUCCCUUCACACUAUUAUAGGGAUUUGGACAACAAGUUGGCAAGACUAAUUCAAGGAAG
rnacentral:lncRNA from 1 species